rnacentral:rRNA from 1 species
AACGAACGCUGGCGGCAUGCCUAACACAUGCAAGUCGAACGAAGCCUUCGGGCUUAGUGGCGCACGGGUGCGUAACGCGUGGGAAUCUGCCCUUUGGUUCGGAAUAACAGUUGGAAACGACUGCUAAUACCGGAUGAUGACGAAAGUCCAAAGAUUUAUCGCCAGAGGAUGAGCCCGCGUAGGAUUAGCUAGUUGGUGUGGUAAAGGCGAACCAAGGCGACGAUCCUUAGCUGGUCUGAGAGGAUGAUCAGCCACACUGGGACUGAGACACGGCCCAGACUCCUACGGGAGGCAGCAGUGGGGAAGAUUGGACAAUGGGCGAAAGACUGAUCCAGCAAUGCCGCGUGGGUGAUGAAGGCCCUAGGGUUGUAAAGCUCUUUUACCCGAGAUGAUAAUGACAGUACCGGGAGAAUAAGCCCCGGCUAACUCCGUGCCAGCCGCCGCCGUAA